UACGUAGGGUGCAAGCGUUAAUCGGAAUUACUGGGCGUAAAGCGUGCGAAGGCGGUUUUGUAAGUCUGAUGUGAAAUCCCCGGGCUCAACCUGGGAAUUGCAUUGGAGACUGCAAGGCUAGAAUCUGGCAGAGGGGGGUAGAAUUCCACGUGUAGCAGUGAAAUGCGUAGAGAUGUGGAGGAACACCGAUGGCGAAGGCAGCCCCCUGGGUCAAGAUUGACGCUCAUGCACGAAAGCGUGGGGAGCAAACAGG
rnacentral:rRNA from 1 species